rnacentral:rRNA from 1 species
CCGUGAAAAAAUUAGAGUGUUCAAAGCAGGCAGAUAUUUUAUUACUGCCACCGAAUACAUUAGCAUGGGAUAAUGGAAUAGGACCCUGUCCUUCAUGUUUCGCGUUGGUUGUGCACCAAAAGGACAAGAAUGGUUGUGUGUGCGCGUGCAAACGCGUACCAUAGCUAUUUUUUGUUUUUUUUUUGGUGCAUGGUUUCGUCUAAAGGAGGACCAGGGUAAUGAUUAAUAGGGAUAGUUGGGGGCAUUAAUAUUUAAUUGUCAGAGGUGAAAUUCUUGGAUUUAUGAAAGAUUAACUUCUGCGAAAGCAUCUGCCAAGGAUGUUUUCAUUAAUCAAGAACGAAAGUUAGGGGAUCGAAGACGAUUAGAUACCGUCGUAGUCUUAACCAUAAACCAUGCCGACCAGCGAUUGGGAGACGUUUCACACGGAGGUGGCCUCGGGGGGCAUUUUUGCUGUUCCGUCGCGCAAGCGGCGGGCGCAAUGUGUCCCUUUUUGGGGCUGCUUCCACUAAAGGAUGACUCCC